GAAUUUUGGACAAUGGGGGCAACCCUGAUCCAGCCAUGCCGCGUGAGUGAAGAAGGCCUUCGGGUUGUAAAGCUCUUUCGGUGGGAACGAAACGGUCACGGUGAACAGCCGUGAUCAAUGACGGUACUCACAGAAGAAGCACCGGCUAACUAAGUGCCCGCCGCCGCGGUAAUACGUAGGGUGCGAGCGUUAAUCGGAAUUACUGGGCGUAAAGCGUGCGCAGGGGGCUGGCUAAGACAGGUGUGAAAUCCCCGGGCUCAACCUGGGAAUGGCGCUUGUGACUGGCCGGCUCGAGUGCGGCAGAGGGAGGUGGAAUUCCACGUGUAGCAGUGAAAUGCGUAGAGAUGUGGAGGAACACCGAUGGCGAAGGCAGCCUCCUGGGCCGACACUGACGCUCAUGCACGAAAGCGUGGGGAGCAAACAGG
rnacentral:rRNA from 1 species